rnacentral:lncRNA from 10 species
AAUUGCUGUGAAAUGAGAAAUAAAUCUUUAUACCCAAACUACAAAUAAUUGAAAAUUGCCUAAUACUGAGAGAUAAAGAAGUAUUAGGUUGGUGUAAAAGUAAUUGUGGUUUUUGAAAUUAUAUUUAACAGUAAAAAUCGUAAUUGUGUUUGCACCAACCUAGAAAUUAUAAACCUAUUAUUUAGGGACAAAUGGUUAAUGCCAAAUUGAACAAUGAACAUAAUCGAAAGUGUCUGCCUCUGGGGCACACAGAACACAUGACUGAAAGGAAGCAGAGGACUACUUUUCUCCAAGUGUCUCGUUUUGGCCAAAUACAAGUGGAAAUCAGAAAGCCAGUGACUCCAUUGCUGCUAUCCAUAAAGUUUAGCUUCCUGAGGCACAGAACAUGCUACCAAAGGGUGGAGAGUAAAUUUGGAAAAGCGAAUGGAAUGCAGCACAGUUCCUAUGCUGAAAGAUGAUAUGCUUUAUGCUUAAAAGAUUAUUAAACACAUAAACUUCCAACUAUGGCUGACCUGUGAGAUAUGGCUCUGUGAGAUUUGGCUGAACUUUUCCCUCAAAAAUUCCCUGAACUAGAAAUUCUUCUGCUCUAAAAACUCAAUCAUAUCCAGAGUACAGAUGAAUUCUCCUAUCUAUCCAUUUGUUUAUCUUUCUUAUUAUUUUAAAAUCACAAUCACUUUUGACAAAACAAAACUUCUUUAAAAGUACUGUUUAGCACACACCCUCUGGUGAUUACCAAUGUGUCACACUGUUGAAUGAGGAUGGAAGCUGUGAAUUGCAUCUAAUGAACAAAAUAUGGCAAAAGCGAGGGGCUGUUACUCCCUUUAUUGGGUUACACUAUGUAAAAUUCACUAUUAAGCAGAUGAGUGAGAUAGACUUCCUUGCUGACUUGGAAGUUUUAUGUUGCCAUUUGUAAGAAGGCCUCUGAGAGGAACACAUGACAAAAAACUGUGGCCUAGAGGAGGUGAGUGCCCCCAACCCGUAACCAGCAAGAACCCCCCACCACCGAUAGCUUCCAGAGUAUAAAUUAUCCCAAGUACAUGAAUGAUAUAGAAAACAGAUUCUUGCCAGUCAAGCCUCCAGAUAGGAAUGCAGUCCAGCAAAUGUUCUUGAUUGAAGCAUUAUGAGGGUUUAAUCUCAAUAAUCUAAUAAUGAUCAGACUACAUUAGCAUAGAACCAACUAAGCUGCAUCUGGACUCCUGUUAUCCUGUAGUGUCUAUAAGAUAACAAAAGUAUAUUAGCUUAAGCCUCUAAAUGUGUGGUAAUUCAUUACAAAGAAGAAAAACUAGUAUUAGUAUUGACAAUAUUAUUUUGAACAUUGUUUUUACAAUGAUCUCAGCUUAUUGUGUGUGAUCCUGAAUUCCUCAUUAACUCCAUGGCAGUUUGCCAUAAUUCAUUAUAUUUUAUCAGAAAAUAUCAAUAUUAAGCAAUACCAUUACUUCAAGUUAAGAUAGGCUCACUAGGAAAAAUAUUAUUUCAUAUAAAGUAUAAAAUUUGGAUAUAAAGUAUAAAAACAACCUCAUAUAUAGAUUUUGAUAUUAAAAAUAAAAAUAUGUUUGCUUAAAAAAAGAAGGACCCGAUAUUGUUGAUUUUCUGAAUAUGGUUCCUUCUCUGAUGUAAACACUGGUCAAAUAAAUGGGGGAAUGAGGAAGGAUAGUAUAAACUUACAUGGCUUUAUGUUCAGAAAUUAUGUAUUGUCAAGCACAAAGGGAAGCUUUAAGCUAAUUUAAAUUAUUCUUUACUUAUUAUGGAUUAUGUAAAUUUAUUUAGAGAUUUUCAACACCUGAACAAAGAUGCAUUAACUGUAACCAAUUAACAAUCUAAUAGCUAUCACAUUAUAUUGUUUACUUCUUUCAUGCUGUCAACUUAAAGUGUGUAAAAAUUCAGUAAUUUUUUUCCCCUCAGUAAAGCUGGGGAAUGAUUUUCUGUAAGUAUGGAUUUAGUGGUCUCCCUUUAAAUGUAAUUGCAUCCGAGCGAACUUCCUACUAUCUUUCUAGGCUCCUGCUGUUUUUGUGACAGUCAGUGCUGGCUCUAAUCUUAUUGUUAAUGUCAAAGACCAAGCGUGACAGCUCCAGACAAGAUAGGCUCCAGUGAAUGGCAGAGUAAUCAGGCUGGAAAAGAACUGGCGCAUUCAUAAAGGAUCAGACCCUGGAAAGUCGCUAUCAGCAUGUUCACAUGUUUGCUUCUUUUCUAAUACUGAUGGCAGGUAGAUCAUUUAACAUUGUGUCUUUAUGUCAAAGAUUAUUUGAAAUUUGUGUUAUUCUAAUACUCUAAACCAAACUGAAUAAAAAUGUUGUAUUUGACAGUAUUAUCAAUAUACAAAAUUCAAAAUAUCUGAGGGCAUUCUGUGAAAAUAUGGUAUUUUACAAACUGUGCAAAGAAUGUUCCUUCACCAUCUCACACUUGUUUUCCUAAAAUGCAAUAUGGAACAGUUUCUGUUCAAAUUAUAAAGAUGUAUAAGUUUCUUUUUGUCUUUAUGAUUUAUAUUCUAUUUAAUAAUGACAUAAUUCAAGCAAUUAAGUAAAAUUUAUAUUUUAUGCUCCAAAAGAUAAGAACACAUUAGUCAACUUAGUAUAUUGUACAUGUCCAAUAAAUGUUAAGAACAUGAAGAAAAUCUAAGUAGUAAUAUUUUAUUUCUGUGAAAUAUUUUAUGAUAUAUCUUUU